rnacentral:rRNA from 1 species
UCAGGCCUAACACAUGCAAGUCGAGCGGAAACGAGCUAUCUGAACCUUCGGGGAACGAUAACGGCGUCGAGCGGCGGACGGGUGAGUAAUGCCUAGGAAAUUGCCCUGAUGUGGGGGAUAACCAUUGGAAACGAUGGCUAAUACCGCAUGAUGCCUACGGGCCAAAGAGGGGGACCUUCGGGCCUCUCGCGUCAGGAUAUGCCUAGGUGGGAUUAGCUAGUUGGUGAGGUAAGGGCUCACCAAGGCGACGAUCCCUAGCUGGUCUGAGAGGAUGAUCAGCCACACUGGAACUGAGACACGGUCCAGACUCCUACGGGGGCAGCAGUGGGGAAUAUUGCACAAUGGGCGCAAGCCUGAUGCAGCCAUGCCGCGUGUGUGAAGAAGGCCUUCGGGUUGUAAAGCACUUUCAGUCGUGAGGAAGGUAGUGUAGUUAAUAGCUGCAUUAUUUGACGUUAGCGACAGAAGAAGCACCGGCUAACUCCGUGCCAGCAGCCGCGGUAAUACGGAGGGUGCGAGCGUUAAUCGGAAUUACUGGGCGUAAAGCGCAUGCAGGUGGUUUGUUAAGUCAGAUGUGAAAGCCCGGGGCUCAACCUCGGAAUAGCAUUUGAAACUGGCAGACUAGAGUACUGUAGAGGGGGGUAGAAUUUCAG